rnacentral:rRNA from 1 species
ACCGGCUAAUUCCGUGCCAGCAGCCGCGGUAAUACGGAAGGUCCGGGCGUUAUCCGGAUUUAUUGGGUUUAAAGGGAGCGUAGGCCGGAGAUUAAGCGUGUUGUGAAAUGUAGAUGCUCAACAUCUGCACUGCAGCGCGAACUGGUUUCCUUGAGUACGCACAAAGUGGGCGGAAUUCGUGGUGUAGCGGUGAAAUGCUUAGAUAUCACGAAGAACUCCGAUUGCGAAGGCAGCUCACUGGAGCGCAACUGACGCUGAAGCUCGAAAGUGCGGGUAUCGAACAGGAUUAGAUACCCUGGUAGUCCGCACGGUAAACGAUGGAUGCCCGCUGUUGGUCUGAAUAGGUCAGCGGCCAAGCGAAAGCAUUAAGCAUCCCACCUGGGGAGUACGCCGGCAACGGUGCAACUCAAAUGAAUUGACGGA